AGGUCAUGUGAUAUUCUUGUCUCCUGCCCCUAUCAUUGUUCUAGGUAGCUUUGUGUUAUAUCAAGCUAUUGCAUAGCAGGCUCAGCACUCCACUCCACUCAGUUGUUAUAUCACUGACAUGAAGAACAUACUCUUUUUGCAUCUAUUAUUCUUAGGCAUCUGUAUAUAUUCAGCUUCAGGAGCUAAAGUGACACAGUCUCCCCCAGAAAUAUCAAUUAGCGAGGGAAUGGAAGCCACAUUAAGCUGUAGCUAUGAUGAGACAGCUUAUGCUGUGUUCUGGUACCUGCAGAAACCUGGAAAAUCACCUCAGUUUAUUCUUCAGGACUUUACAAAAAAUGAAGAUCUAAAUGAGGAAUACAAGGAUCGCUUUAAUGCCAAUCAUGACAAGGCAACCAAACAAUUCCCUCUAAGCAUCAAACUCACAAAGAUCACAGACUCUGGGACUUAUCUCUGCGCCAUGAGGCCCACACUGUGUGAUGAGCUUGAGGCUGUGUACAAUAAACUUGUCACUGUGUCUUUUCGUUUCUAUUCUGUACCAUUAGGUGGCAGCAAUACCGUAUGUGUCUAUAGAUACCAAUCUGAGAUUAAUUUGGGAGAGGUUAUUACACUAACAAAAACACAGAUGAUUAUUCUCAUCUGUUACCAUCGUAUUCAGAAGGUGAUAGUUUCCCUUUUAAUGCAAAGUAAAUUCCACUAGAUCUUUAUAUCAAUAUGUGCAUUAAGUUGUAGUAUAUAUUUUGGGUCAACUUUUUUUAAGUUGAGUUAACGUUGUUGAUUCCUGGCAAUUGGCAGUUAUUGAAUACACUAUAAACUGGCUGUAUGCACUCCCCACCCAUCUUGUGUGAUUUCUGGGCCAUGGUCUAUAUAAACAGGAGAAGAACUACAGUACUUUUUUUCUGUUUUCAUUUU